rnacentral:rRNA from 1 species
GUUGAACGCUGGCGGCAUGCUUUACACAUGCAAGUCGAACGGGUAGCGAACGGGUGAGUCAUAGAUUAGCACGUCCCGAGUAAUGGGGGAUAACCAGUAAAAAGAUUGGCUAAUACAGCAUAGGAUUGGCGCGGGCCAUAUGUGAUUAGUUAGGUGGUGGGGUAAAGCCCGACCGAGGCGACGAACAGUAGCGGGGCUGAGAGGAUGAUCCGCCACACUGGGAGUGAGACACGGACCAGACGCCUACGUGAGGCAGCAGUGGGGAACUUUGGACAAUGGGCGCAAGCCUGAUCCAGCCAGGCCGCGUGUCUGAAGAAGGCCUUCGGGUUGUAAAGGACUUUUGUUAGGGAAGCGGUACCUAAAGAAUAAGCACCGGCUAACUACGUGCCAGCAGCCGCGGUAAUAC